rnacentral:rRNA from 1 species
GGGGAAUAUUUGCACAAUGGGAGGAAACUCUGAUGCAGCGACGCCGCGUGAGUGAUGAAGUAUUUCGGUAUGUAAAGCUCUAUCAGUAGGGAAGAUAAUGACGGUACCUAACUAAGAAGCACCGGCUAAAUACGUGCCAGCAGCCGCGGUAAUACGUAUGGUGCAAGCGUUAUCCGGAUUUACUGGGUGUAAAGGGAGCGUAGGUGGUUUGGCAAGCCAGAAGUGAAAACCCGGGGCUCAACCCCGUGGAUUGCUUUUGGAACUGUUGGACUAGAGUGCAGGAGGGGUAAGUGGAAUUCCCAGUGUAGCGGUGAAAUGCGUAGAUAUUGGGAAGAAUACCGGUGGCGAAGGCGGCUUACUGGACUGUAACUGACACUGAGGCUCGAAAGCGUGGGGAGCAAACAGGAUUAGAUACCCUGGUAGU